GACAGAGGGUGCAAACGUUGCUCGGAAUUACUGGGCGUAAAGCGCGUGUAGGCGGUGCCGCACGUCCGAUGUGAAAGCCCGGGGCUCAACCCCGGACGUGCAUUGGAUACGACGGCGCUGGAGUCCUGAAGAGGAGGGCGGAAUUCCCGGUGUAGAGGUGAAAUUCGUAGAUAUCGGGAGGAACACCAGUGGCGAAGGCGACUACCUGGCCUGUUCUUGACGCUGAGGCGCGAAAGCUAGGGGAGCAAACGGG
rnacentral:rRNA from 1 species